AAGAAAGUCAUAGAGGUUAUGUGGUUGGCUUGAAACCAAUUAAUGGAGGUUCGAUUCCUUCCUUUCUUG
rnacentral:tRNA from 1 species